GUGAGGAAUAUUGGUCAAUGGGCGAGAGCCUGAACCAGCCAAGUCGCGUGAGGGAAGACGGUCCUAUGGAUUGUAAACCUCUUUUGUCGGGGAGCAAAAAGGCCUCGUGAGGCCACAAGUGAGAGUACCCGAAGAAAAAGCAUCGGCUAACUCCGUGCCAGCAGCCGCGGUAAUACGGAGGAUGCGAGCGUUAUCCGGAUUUAUUGGGUUUAAAGGGUGCGUAGGCGGACUGGAAAGUCAGCGGUAAAAUCGAGAGGCUCAACCUCUUUCCGCCGUUGAAACUGUCGGUCUUGAGUGGGCGAGAAGUAUGCGGAAUGCGUGGUGUAGCGGUGAAAUGCAUAGAUAUCACGCAGAACUCCGAUUGCGAAGGCAGCAUACCGGCGCCCGACUGACGCUGAGGCACGAAAGCGUGGGUAUCGAACAGG
rnacentral:rRNA from 1 species